CCAGAACCAAGUCUGCUCAAGGGUUCUCCAGUCUAUUGAUUGCUAAAGACGGGUGCGACCGGGAGGAAAGGCUGGUCAGUCCGGAGGUGCCGUGCCUAUGGCCUGGAUCUCAGAGGACAGAGGCAGCAGAGGUUUCUUACAGAUUCCAAGACAGGUGUGCACAGGUCCGCGCCGCGCUGUGCUGAGAAAUCGACAGCAUCUGCCUCUCCAGGGGAAAUCUACUUCUACAGAGAGAUACACGACGAAUUUCACUAAUGUUAAAGAAUGUUGCACGUCAUUUCUGAAUAAUAUUAUGCCAUUCUCUUUAUUGUAAAUUCCAUACCGUUAUGACUUCAGGGUGACAUUUCUUGUAAAGAAGAAGAAGGAAGGUGGGGGGGAGGGAGUAAGUUUUUGCAAAAUCGAGUUCCAGUUUUUCUAAUUCUGUCACCAGAAAAAUGAGACUACAAAUAAAUGCUCAGAGCGAUCCAGUUCA